UACAAGCUGAAUAGGCCUUAAUGGAGGCAUA
rnacentral:sRNA from 1 species